AGAGAGAGACAUGCGCGCAUAUCAAUAAGCGGAGGAAAAGAAACUAACAAGGAUUCCCCUAGUAACGGCGAGUGAAGCGGGAAGAGCUCAAAUUUGAAAUCUUAAAGGGUUUCCCUUUACGAAUUGUAGUUUAAAGAAGUGUUUUCUGUUGAGGUUUUGGUAAAAGUUCUUUGGAAUAGGACAUCAUAGAGGGUGAGAAUCCCGUAUUUGACCUUUACUUUCAACUUUGUGAUACACUUUCAAAGAGUCGGAUUGUUUGGGAAUGCAGUCCAAAAUGGGUGGUAAAUUUCAUCUAAAGCUAAAUAUUGGCGAGAGACCGAUAGCGAACAAGUACCGUGAGGGAAAGAUGAAAAGAACUUUGAAAAGAGAGUUAAACAGUACGUGAAAUUGUCAAAAGGGAAGCGUUUGACACCAGUGUUGUUUUUCUGAAAAUCAAUUAAAGAACUGUUUAUGCUAAGUUGUUUAGACUUUAUCAGCUAACUGUUUAGUUUUGAGCUUUUCUUUAAUGCACUUUUCAGUUAACAAGUCAACAUCAAUUUCUUUUGCUGUAAAAAAGCUUGAGGAAGGCGGCUUGAGAUUCGUCUUAAGUGUUUAUAGCCUCUUGCCUAUGCAGUCGGAGAGAUUGAGGUCUGCAGCGUAGAUCCUUCGGGGCUAAAUGCAUUUGUGCUAAGUUAUAGCAUUUUAUAGACAACUUGUUGACUAUGAUUUGUCUUGUAGCUUACUCGCUUAUGUUAUUUUACCUACGCUUAGGAUGUUGACGCAUGAGAUAUACGC
rnacentral:rRNA from 1 species